ACUGAACGCUGGCGGCAUGCCUUACACAUGCAAGUCGAACGGCAGCACGGGAGCAAUCCUGGUGGCGAGUGGCGAACGGGUGAGUGAUAUAUCGGAACGUGCCCAGUCGUGGGGGAUAACGCAGCGAAAGCUGUGCUAAUACCGCAUACGAUCUACGGAUGAAAGCGGGGGAUCGCAAGACCUCGCGCGAUUGGAGCGGCCGAUAUCCGAUUAGCUAGUUGGUGGGGUAAAGGCCCACCAAGGCGACGAUCUGUAGCUGGUCUGAGAGGACGACCAGCCACACUGGAACUGAGACACGGUCCAGACUCCUACGGGAGGCAGCAGUGGGGAAUUUUGGACAAUGGGCGCAAGCCUGAUCCAGCAAUGCCGCGUGCAGGAUGAAGGCCUUCGGGUUGUAAACUGCUUUUGUACGGAACGAAACGGCCCUUUCUAAUACAGGGGGCUAAUGACGGUACCGUAAGAAUAAGCACCGGCUAACUACGUGCCAGCCGCCGCCGUAACAC
rnacentral:rRNA from 1 species